AUUGAACGCUGGCGGCAUGCUUUACACAUGCAAGUCGAACGGUAACAGGCCGCAAGGUGCUGACGAGUGGCGAACGGGUGCGUAAUGCAUCGGAACGUGCCCAGUCGUGGGGGAUAACUACUCGAAAGAGUAGCUAAUACCGCAUACGAUCUAUGGAUGAAAGCGGGGGACCGUAAGGCCUCGCGCGAUUGGAGCGGCCGAUGUCAGAUUAGGUAGUUGGUGGGGUAAAGGCUCACCAAGCCAACGAUCUGUAGCUGGUCUGAGAGGACGAACAGCCACACUGGGACUGAGACACGGCCCAGACUCCUACGGGAGGCAGCAGUGGGGAAUUUUGGACAAUGGGCGCAAGCCUGAUCCAGCAAUGCCGCGUGAAGGAAGAAGGCCUUCGGGUUGUAAACUGCUUUUGUACGGAACGAAACGGCUCUGGUUAAUACCCGGGGCUAAUGACGGUACCGUAAGAAUAAGCACCGGCUAACUACGUG
rnacentral:rRNA from 1 species